GAUGAAGAACGCAGUGAAAUGCGAUAAGUAAUGUGAAUUGCAGAAUUCAGUGAAUCAUCGAAUCUUUGAACGCACAUUGCGCCCUUUGGUAUUCCUUAGGGCAUGCCUGUUCGAGCGUCAUUACAACCCUCAGGCCCCCGGGCCUGGCGUUGGGGAUCGGCGGAGCCCCCCGUGGGCACACGCCGUCCCCCAAAUACAGUGGCGGUCCCGCCGCAGCUUCCAUCGCGUAGUAGCUAACACCUCGCGACUGGAGAGCGGCGCGGCCACGCCGUAAAACACCCAACUCUUCUGAAGUUGACCUCGAAUCAGGUAGGAAUACCCGCUGAACUUAAGCAUAUCAAUAAGCGGAGGA
rnacentral:misc_RNA from 1 species